CCGCUGGGCCCCGCGGGAGGAGGUGCUCGGCGGCGCCCAGGGAGAGCUGGGCCUAGCGGGGCUGGUCCCGGCCCCGCCCGGUAGCGCGGCGGGGCCUGCCGGGCUCUCCCACCCGUGGGCCGCCCCCGUCCCGCUUCUCGCCCCGCUCCUGGCCCCGCCGGCCCCACGAGCGCAGGGCAGCGGCCUGCCCGCCGCGCUGGGCAUCUUCCGGGAGCUGGCCGGGCUGGCGCGGGAGCCGGGGCCCGGGGGCAGCAGGGCGGGGGCGGCGCCGCGGCUGAGGACCGUGUACGUGAACCCCAGGUGGCUGGAGCGGCAGGCGGCCUUGGCGGCGGCCCCGCAAGGCCCGGUCGGGCCGCAGGGCCCGGAGGCUGCGAGCAGCUCGCCGGGGCCUCCGCCCGCCACCCAGGGGGAGCCCUGCCCGGAGGCAGCGAGUCCCUACGUGGGGCUGCGGAGACCCCUGGGCUACCAGCUGGCGAAGGCCACCAAGGAGCGGAUCUGGAGGGGGGAGUUCAUUGACCUGUUCUCCUUGCUCCACACAGAGCUGGCCCCGGAGCACGAGCCUGGCCAGGGGCUGGGGGACACGCUGGACCAGUGGGUCUCCGCCUUCCUGGUGUACGCCAGUGUGCUGUGCGAGAAGCACCCCAACAGGUGUGGGGCCAUGUUCAAAUACCUGGAUGUCAUCCGCAAAUUCCACGCCACCUACGGCGGCACUUCCUGGCUGCACUAUGACGAGGACUUCAGGCGGCUGGCGGCCAAGGACCCCACCAUGGCCUGGGGGGAUGUUGACUUGAAUCUCUGGAUGAAGUGGAUGGCCCCGUUAAAGCCAUCGACAACCAGGCAGCCGCAGGCUGCGGGUGACCAGCAGGCUCCACUGCGGCCUCAAAAUUCCAGGACGGAUGAUAAAAGUCAGACUUCUCAUUUCUGAAAUGUAGCAGAUCAGUUUUUACUUCACUGCAGAUCUUACCAUGAGAAAGCUAGUUGGAAGGGCAGUCCAACUAAAUUGGUGAGUUACAUACUAUAACUGACUAACUCUAAAAUUUAAAUGUGUGUGCAUUUGUUAAAUACAGAAUUUUUUAUAGGUACCAACAGCCUGACUCCAUUGUUGUCUAAGUGGAGCUCAGGUAUUCUAUUGCACCCAUUUACCUCUGCUUUUGCUGCAUUGCAUGCUCUGCUAAAGAAGACAUAGGAGAUUCAUUUUACCCAACCAGCAGUUGUAGCAAUGGACUACAAUCAAGCCAGUUUGUUGGACAGUAAGAAUACUUGCAGUGCAGCAUUUGACACAGACUAUCUAAAGAGGGCAAAGAUUCAGGAGGGUGAAUGAGUUGAACCGCCUUUGAAUGAAGUCUGAAACAACUUCAAGAAGGGGAAUCCUACUCUAAAAUACUACAUAGAAAGUAUAAGUCAAAGUGAAUAUUGUAAUUGCCAGAUUGUCCCUUCUCAUACAAGCAAACUAUUUUGUGCUGUUCUGGGUCCUUAAAAGAACACACUUGAAUAUUUCAAAAUCUAUGUAUUACACUUAUUUAAAAAAAAAUUCAAAUAUUUGUCUUUAUUAACUUUGCCAUUUCAUGAAGAAUAUCUGCAACAACAUGUACUGAGUUGAAUAAUACCCUACAUUCAAUAGAUCAGCAGCUGUUGACAGUUGUUUUAUAAGAUUCACACAACAUUUCCUCUCUUUUUCCUCUGGGGGAAAAGAAGCAUUGACUUCCAUUGGCACAUUCAAAAAAGCCAUAGGGCAGUCAUACAUACCUUGCUUCUUCACCACACAUAGAGAUGACAAAUUAUUCUUCCAUGCAUCCCAAUAGUAUAUCUAGCAUUGUAAAUAUCAAGUUAUGAAUGGUUAUUAUCUGGUGCCAAUGAAAGUUAGAUUAGAUGGAUCAUGGCUUAAUUAUUUGGGUUUUUUUCCCAGUGUUCUGUUUUUUCUCUCCCCCUCACCUCACAUACUAGGGCAUAUGAUCAAGAUGAUAAUUAGGUAUCAGAAAAUCAACCAUUAUCUGUUCUGUUUUUCCCAUUCUUGGUUGUCACAAUAUUAUGCACUAACUUGAAAUGUUUGUAAAUUCAUAUUAAAAAUGUUUGAGACCUCAUCUAAAUAAAUUUUUUUUAUAAAAAUGUCGUGCUUAA
ensembl:lncRNA